rnacentral:rRNA from 1 species
CCUACGGGUGGCAGCAGUGAGGAAUAUUGGUCAAUGGGCGCGAGCCUGAACCAGCCAAGUCGCGUGAGGGAAGACGGCCCUACGGGUUGUAAACCUCUUUUGCCGGGGAGCAACGGGCGCCACGUGUGGCGCCACUGAGAGUACCCGGAGAAAAAGCAUCGGCUAACUCCGUGCCAGCAGCCGCGGUAAUACGGAGGAUGCGAGCGUUAUCCGGAUUUAUUGGGUUUAAAGGGUGCGUAGGCGGAGCGUUAAGUCAGUGGUCAAAUUGAGGGGCUCAACCCCUUCCCGCCAUUGAAACUGGCGCUCUUGAGUGCAGGAGAGGUAAGUGGAAUUCCUAGUGUAGCGGUGAAAUGCGUAGAUAUUAGGAGGAACACCAGUGGCGAAGGCGACUUACUGGACUGUAACUGACGUUGAGGCACGAAAGUGUGGGGAGCAAACAGGAUUAGAUACCCUGGUAGUC